CUGCCCUUCCCCUUCGGCAUCUGGUUGGGCUUCAACAUGGGCCUGGGCACUGGCAGAAAAGAGCGGCCCAGUGAUGGAUUGCAGGCAUAGGCCAUGAAAUCAGUCGCUUGUCUCAAAGCUCCCAAACCUGCCGAGAUUAGUGAACUGAUGAUAUAAAAAAGAGCUUUUCUACCAUCGUUAAUGUCUCUUCUCCAGCUCUGACAAAUAAAAGCGAAAGCUGUUCUUUUUA